GAUGAACGCUGGCGGCGUGCCUAAUACAUGCAAGUCGAGCGAACAGACGAGGAGCUUGCUCCUCUGACGUUAGCGGCGGACGGGUGAGUAACACGUGGAUAACCUACCUAUAAGACUGGGAUAACUUCGGGAAACCGGAGCUAAUACCGGAUAAUAUAUUGAACCGCAUGGUUCAAUAGUGAAAGACGGUUUUGCUGUCACUUAUAGAUGGAUCCGCGCCGCAUUAGCUAGUUGGUAAGGUAACGGCUUACCAAGGCAACGAUGCGUAGCCGACCUGAGAGGGUGAUCGGCCACACUGGAACUGAGACACGGUCCAGACGCCUACGGGAGGCAGCAGUAGGGAAUCUGCCGCAAUGGGCGAAAGCUUGACGGAGCAACGCCGCGUGAGGGAUGAAGGUCUUCGGAUCGUAAAACUCUGUUAUUAGGGAAGAACAAAUGUGUAAGUAACUAGGCACGUCUUGACGGUACCUAAUCAGAAAGCCACGGCUAACUACGUG
rnacentral:rRNA from 1 species